CCGCGUUGCCUAUGCAGAGUCGCCUCUGCAGCCUUCCAGGGCUAAAGGUCAAGUUUUCCUGAGGACCAAGGGCAGAAUGAGACAAGUUUUAUCAGCAAGCCUCUAUUUUCCUCCCCUGAUUUCCACCCCGGCCGCACAUUCCACUAGACUCCUCAGGGUUGAGUGCUCACAUCUCACCAGCACCAGGAGAAUUAACAAAACAGCACACUCUGGUUUUAAGAUGGUUGUGCAAUCUCCUCUUCCUGUUGGUCAAGAAUCGGAGGAUCGAGGCUGGGGAUCUAGCUCAGUGGUGCAGCCACCAGUGGUUGCACUACAGUGGUGCAACAGAGGAUCGGCUCUUUUGAGAUCCAGGCCAUGAAGGGGUGCAGCGCCUCGUCUUCCUUCCUAGUCUGCCGCUGCUCAAGAGGGGCUGUUUAAUUAAAG
ensembl:lncRNA